GAUAUUUCCGUUGCCGAGUCACAGACGUUGCGACCUGUUCGUAGUCGGUCCCUGCUCUCGUGAGGAACCGCGCUCGAGUUCGGUUGUGGGCACGUUUCGGCGUUGCUACACGGCGAAGGCGCGGACAUCUGGCCGACAACGGACAGUAGGUUGUGAACGGUGUUCGAUGUUGUCGUUUGUACGCGCGACAUCGCUACCGGUCGGCGACGAAUUCUUCGAGUCUCUUUCCGACCCGUCUUGAAACACGGACCAAGGAGUCUAACGUGCGCGCGAGUCGCGGGGUGUCGAGUGUACCACGGUGCACUCGUUACGUUACGAAACCCGUUCAGGUUGAAGGCGUAAUGAAAGUGAGUGGGGAAGAUGGCGUAUCGAGUACACGUUCCACGACCGCUGGUGUUGUGGCCGAACGCCCGCAUUCCCAGGGCGUCUCGAUGGCCCGUCGCGAGUGCGGACAGUCGUCUCUCUCGGGACGGCUGUCGGUUUGCGACGAGCGGAGGCGCACCUACAGCGUGCACGUUGGUACCCGAAAGAUGGUGAACUAUGCCUGGCCAGGAUGAAGUCAGGGGAAACCCUGAUGGAGGUCCGCAGCGAUUCUGACGUGCAA
rnacentral:rRNA from 1 species